UGCCAGCCGCCGCGGUAAUACGAAGGGGGCGAGCGUUGUUCGGAAUUACUGGGCGUAAAGAGCUCGUAGGCGGUUCAACAAGUCGGUCGUAAAAGUUUAGGGCUCAACCCUAAAAUGUCGAUCGAUACUGUUGUGACUAGGAUACGGUAGAGGUGAAUGGAAUUCCGAGUGUAGCGGUGAAAUUCGUAGAUAUUUGGAAGAACACCAGUGGCGAAGGCGGCUCACUGGCUCGAUACUGACGCUGAGGUGCGAAAGUGUGGGGAGCAAACAGGAUUAGAUA
rnacentral:rRNA from 1 species